AAUAAGCCACGUGGAAUAAUUACAAAGCAGCCUAAUGUCUCAAUCAUGCUGGAAGGAAGGUUAAAUCGAACCUGUGUAUGACUCAUCUUUGUCAUCUAGAAUCUUCUGGCGCUGAACUUUAGCUGAAACUCGUGGCAUGGGAGGAUGGAGUCACUCUUUUGUCUCUAAAGAUGGACUGCAGUACACAAGUGUGACCACAGGAUGCUCUCACUUCAUUCCUACUUAUUGUACCUUCAGGCAAUCUACUGGGAUAAGAAACCUCAGAAGAAGAACCCAACACCAGCAGACUCAGUGCUCCAAUCCAACAGCCUGAAGAGACACCAUCAUCAGCUUCAACAGAUGUCUGUGAACAUGUAUGAGCUGCUGGCCCCAUGGAUCCUGCUGACUGGCCACAGCAGUUGAACAAAAUGGAAAGUAGAACUUUCUUUAUGAUGACACUGAUAUUUGAGUUUUGCUUUUGAUUGCACAGUUUAAUGCUGCUUUUGAUUUUGCAUCCCCCCCAAUGACAUUUGCACAACAUUUUGAGUUGUUGGUUAUUGUAAUAUUCUCAGGUUACUUAUCUUUCAAGCUUACAUUUAUUCUUCAGGCUGCUGACUUUAAAGAGUUGCUGUGUGAAUAUUUAAAAUAAAAAAAUAGUAACUAAGGAAUAAAAACUGUGGAGUUGCUUUUUCCAAUUUGUGGUGGGUGGGUGGACUUGGGUUUGGGUGAGAGGCGUGCAGGCUUUCAUGCCUGAUUUUCUUGAUGAGGUCAGUAGGCUCCAAAACAAUGGAAUUGCAUUCCAAGGUGUAACGUUAAAUGCGACAGUCAAUGUGUUUAUUUGUGAUGCUCCAGCAAGAGCAUUUUUGAAAUGCAUAAAGGGACACAACGCAUUCCAUAGUUGCGAGCGAUGCACUGUUGAAGGACAGUGACAGGAAGUGACAACCUUUCCAAUGAGAUUCUUGUUGCAAAAAUAAUGUUGGAGAAAGAGUUCAAAAAAACUGAUGAUGAUAACAGUGAAGAGUUUGUAGACCUCCACCAUUUGCAAAUAUCUACAUGGGUAUAAGAAUG
rnacentral:lncRNA from 1 species